rnacentral:lncRNA from 1 species
CGGCGAGACAGUACUAGAGGAGGGUACAUUUUUUUCACCGGAGCGCGGACAGACCGUUAAAACCGAACAAAUCCUUUUUAAACGAUUCCGGUUUAUUUGUAUUCUGUGCUGUAAGACACUGUGCUUUAAUAGCAAACUGCAAAAAAGGCAGUACGUAUUGCUUUCCUUUUAAUUUCACAAUGGAACGUUUCACAAAAACAGUAGACUACUUUCCUGUGUUUAAGUGACCGUGGAAUUAGAAUUUAGAAUCAGCGCUGCUGUCAACUAAAGAAGAAAGAAAAGUGCAAUGAAAUUUCUCUCUCAGAAAGCUCUGUUAAUGCAGCUGGUCUGCCAUCUAUCCAGCAGUUGUGCUUUUUGCCUAGUGGCCAUCAUGGAGAUACAGGUAAGUAAAUUAGGGGUAGGUGCCGCUUUCAUUUACUGUCUGAUUCUGUUCUAUAUUUAAUCACUGCACUAUUUGUCAUCGUAGAAAUUUGACAGUGUUUCAGAACACUGAAAAGCUGGAUGCAUUUCCUAUGGCAUCACAGGUUAGGCAGUCUUCAUUCAGCUUUUGGAGAUCGUGGAUAGAAGAGGGGUUACAAAUAUUUAUCGGAAGUUGCACUAAUUGUGAAGAUCAGCAUAAGCAAUGUCAUUUGUAAUGCACACAUCUCAGAGGAAGCCUCUCAGUACGACCUGCAAGUUAUCAAAUAUGAGAACAUUUUCCCUCUUUGAGGAGCAGAAAGUUAACAGGUAUACAUAUUUAAAUACCAGAAGUGAGGUAAAGAGAAGCAUUUGAAUUAAGGCACCAUUAUUUACAAAUUCCACUAUUGGCACUCACUCCAAUAAAUCACAGAGAUGCACUCAUCUGGGAGUAAAUGCAAUGCUAAGGAGUUUUUCCAGCCCUUCAACCUUCAUUUCUACAGGCGUGUGUGAAGCCACCAAAACUUUUACCCAUCACAGCCUCUGUGAUGUCUAGUGUCUAGAUGCUAGUGUAAGAAUAGUCCUAGAAAUAUGUAGUUUCUUUAAUAUCCUCCAGCAUCACGCCACGGAUGACAUAAAACAAAGGAAUUAUAAAGCAAAAAAAUGUGUUAUAUCCACAGGCCUAACGAUUAAGUAAUGGUUUAAGCAACCGGUAUCUGUUCAUUGUAUUGUCACAGAUGGUUUAAAAUCCCCUUCCUUUACCUGCAGCUCUUAAGAAAGGUUCAAAAUAAUGCUUUGAUAACACUGCAUAAGAAUAAUCCAGCAAUGGUUUUCUAGAAAUCCUCCAAAUUAGGCUACAUGAAGGUUGGUCCAAUUUAUCAGUUGAAACGCAGUCUCUUAUUUUUAAGAUGCACAAGUUAUUUUCAAGUCAGAAGAUGCACAAAGCACAAGUGAAUGCAACUGUUCCAUUCUUACUCAGCUGUAGAAAUGAGUUCAUAGAUAGGGCACAGCAGUUAGUCGAUACCAGUUAACAGUCUCCUUGCUCAAGUUGAAGUCCUUCAGAGAGAGUGUAAUUCCACCCAAGAAGAAGUUCUCACGUAAUGAUUCCGCACUGAGCACACUCAGCUGGAGUUCUCUCUGCUUCAGAGUUUCCACGCUAUAUCCACUGUACACAAGCUGGAAGGUAAGAAGUCAAGAAUUUUGGUUAUUCAAAUGAAGUGACACAGGUGGCUCCUUUUUCUGCCUGCCUCACCACUGAUGUUGAAUUGCAGAUCGCGGCCAUUCCAUACGUCUGCUUUUCUGAGGCUAGGCUGAAGCCCAUGCAUAUUUCAUUACGUGCUCUUAAGUGUUUAAAAGGACCAAUGUUUUUAGAUAGAAGUACUGUUUACCUGUGGUAUGUUCUGAAUUCAUUCUUUUCCACAUUCUGAAUCAAUGAAUCGAAGGAAGAAUCUUUAGUUUUAAGACUCUUUCACUUCUCACCAUCACUCCUCAAAGUCAAGUCUAAGAAAUUUCUGCUAAUUUGUAACAUAGGCCCAUUUUAUUCUUUAUUUUUUUUUAACAAGGCACAAAAAGUUUUGGAAACAAGUUCAUUUUGGAUUUAUAUAUAUAUUUGCAGGGUGAUUUUAGACAAGAUUUUGAUUACUGCUUAGAAUAAAAGAUGAUAGCAAACCAUACAGAGUUGCUACAAAAAAUUGAACUUGCCAUUUCAUUGAAAGUUGGAUUUCUCGUCUUCCGGGAGAUUUUGGUUUUGCGUUUGGAUGUUUUGUGCGUGUCUGGCAAUAAGUAUGUUUUUACGUAGGGAUUUGGAUCUGCACCAUCUUCUGUAACCUGGAAUCCAAAACCAAGACGUGUUAGAAGAUGAGUUGGAAAAGUAGUUAUUGCACACUUACACGACUACUUUCGAAUUGCUAGUCUUAACCACCAAGCAGAUCAAAAGCAGCAGCUGAUGUAAGUUUGCAGUGGGAGAGUUUGGAGGAAGAGAGAUAUCUCUCAUCAUUCCUACACAGAUCGUAAGUCAAGAAGGUAAUUGACAAAAUAGUUUUUGGCAGUGAGCUUCUCUCUUCUCUUACUUACCAGAUCUUUGAUGUGCAUCACCAUGAUAAACAGAGUGCUAUUUCUGUAUGAUAUGGAUAGCUUCACUUCUCCACCCACUUUGCCUGAGGUAGGACUCGAUGGACUUGCAUCUGAAAAAAUACACAAUUAUUUCCUCUGUGAAUAUCUGUACGUUUUCAUCAGUACUGCACUAAUUAUAUACAGGUAGAAAAAUAAAUGCACGGUUUAGACUAAGUUCGGUUUCUGAUUUACACUUCUAAUUCCCCAGUAAGAUGGCAAGGCGAUAGGUUUUAAUGAUUUUUGCAUUCUCUUGUUCAGAUUGUUGGAAAACCAGAACAAAAACUUGAAUGAUUUUCUUAAGCCAUAAGCAAGCCCAGUGAUCACAUGUACUGUUGUAAUUCUUGGCAUGCUUUUUAUUUCCUUGGAAUUGUAUGCAACCAUAUUUGGAAAGGAAGAUGUGCACACUUCUCAACGAGGAAAAAUUCCAGUUAAUUUCAAAAGAUUCUUUAUAAAUCACAUUUUAAAAGUGUCAUACUAUAGUCACCCAGUUUAUAAAUACUCCACCUCUUGCCCCACAGACAUGACCUACCUGUAGAUCUGGCUAUUCCAUCUAUUCCUUCCACUUUGUCAUCACGAAGCAAUGGAUGGAAAAAUGUAUAGACAAGAUCACACUAAAUUUGGAAGAAAUUUUAUAUAUUAGAUUAAAUGUUAACGAGCACUAAGAUCCAAAAGCCUCCCCUGGAUUUGCUUAAGUUACUUAAACUCACUUCUGCCACCUCUGGAGAACUGUUCAUCAGACUCUGUAUGUAGCUGUUGAGCUCCACUUUUCUUUUAGCAGCUACGUCUUUUAUAUGUGUUCUUCCCAGAACCAUCUUAUUAGGAAAGCUAUAAGAGAAGAACAAGGUGAAGUUUGCAGUUAAUUUUUCUGUAGUGCAGUUAAAUUUCAUUCUAAUUUCCAUCCUGAAGUGUUGACGUCUAUUUUUGACAUCGAUCAUAAAUGGAGACAUGGGCAUCCUAAUAUAUAAUGAUGUUAAAGAAAAGGUAGGAAACUGUUAUAGGUAAUUGUUACAAAUGAUAAAUCACAAAUUGAAGACACAGAAUAGCUCCUCUAGUUUUCCUCCUUCAAUCUUGAAUAUUAUAUUUUUCUCCCUUAAUUGCCACCUUUGAGGUCUAGUUCACUGCUCAGCAGUUUUGUCUCAGCUAUCUUUAACUCCACCCUAACUAGGAUCAUUCUUUACUGAAUUCAUUAUUAUAGUGAUGAAUGAGUGAGAAACAUACCCUGGUAACUUCCAAAGUGGAAAAAGAAUGCCAAGUUUGUUGUGGAGUUCCUGGAACUCAUCAAAUGUUCGGAAAACAAAAGUUGGCUCAGCUUGUCCUUCUCUCAAAACUCUCACCACAUAUAUCUGCCAAAAAUGCACAUUAAAAAGAUAGAAAGUAGUAGUAAUGUUAAAGAAUUUACUUAAAUACUGUUCUUUUUUAAACAUUCAAUUUUUUCUACUCUGGUAAUCUUUCUCCUACAUAAAUUUUCCAGUGUUUGCAUUUCAUAUUGAAGUUUGAAUUAUAAAUCACCCUACUGAAAUGUUACUGCAAAGUAACAUUACAUGAUUUUCCCAUAAAGCAGCUCUACAUCUGACAAUGAGAUAAAAGCAGUUAAGGCUAAGCUGUCAGCAUUCUCCAUUUUAAGCCUCAUUUUAAGUUCAUACUCUGUAUCAGGUGUACAAAAUGUAAUACAUCUAGACACAGCUGGAACUACUGUGAAUAUUUACAGGUCCAGACUCUCAAAGCAACAGCUUGAUAGACAAACGUACAUACAUUGCCUUAUAUAAAAGGAAAUCUUUCAAAUGCUUGAGAUGCAUCCCCAGGACUCAGUUAUUCAUCUCAUUAAGAAAGGAAAAAUGAAAGCUGAGAAAUUGCACAGAAAAUUAAGUUCAGUGAACUCAUAAAUGAGUCAAAUGUGUAUUUUUAAAAUGUGCAACUAAACAGAAGGAUGUUCCAUUACCUCAGCAGUUUCCUGGAAGAUCAAACACUGCUUUGGCUUAGAACUGGAGUACUCAAAUACAUUCAUAAUGCAGCAAUUCCAUAUAAAGCUUUUCUUUUGUUCUGUAAGCUUUACCUUACCUAAUUGGUGUCUGCCAGAUUAGGUCAUUUGCAGCAAAAACAACUUGGAAACAGAUAUACAUUAGCUCACUUUUUAAAACAACUUGAGGAAAAUUGAGCUUGGGGUUGACCAAUCCAAGACAACAAACAGCAACAGAAAAAAAAAUGGGAAAGAAUAUGGUUGCAUUGAGUGCAAAAACAGAUUCCACAUACUUACGUAAUGCUUAUCUGGAUUGUAUCUCUUCUGAUAUGUAAAUACAGACACCUGUUUGAUGCGGCCAUCUUGUUUAAGAGAAUAUGUUUUAGCAGAAAAUGAGAGGAUGGGUUCAUCAUUAGAAGGUAGUCCUGAGAAACGCAGCUGAGCCAAGUUAUGAAUAAAGAAGUUGAACUUUGUGGCAACACUUCCCAGACUGGAUUCAAUCAACCUGGAGUAGAUAAAAUAACUUCAAAUUCUAUAACACACAAAACCCUCCUCAUCACUCCAGUCCAGCCCCAUUUAAAGUGGGAUAGAGUAAUACAUUUUGUCACACAGCAACAAGUCACUUACACUAUAUGCACACACUGAUUUGCUCUUAUUGGAAGUGUAAUCCUUCCCUCCCCAGUGGGCAGAAGUGCUUUUGGAAAAGCUUCUUUAUACUGCAUGCAUUUCAAGGAUAUCAACAUGUACACUACUAUUAAGCAAUCUGGGAUGCAUUCAAAAUGUGACUCUCAAACAGCAGAACAGAAUUACUCUAUUUCAAGCAAUUCUUUUGCACAAGGUAAUUCUUAAAGGCAAAAUAUUUUAGCACAGCUAUUAAUCAUACAUGAAACUGAUCUUAUCUUUGCAGUUCACUGGUUAGGUGAUGGGUGUUCUUUGGUUGCAUAACCUAACUACUCAACUUCUACAGCCACCUUUGCAACAUCUUUAGUACAUUGAUCUGAAGCAGAGGGCUCCCACUAAAAGGAUGAUACUGGUGGAUAAUUUCGUUCCCUCACUUAGCCAGUACCUUGUAAAGAAAAUGGUAGCUUCUGCAUCUGUUGUUUGAGGUUGGAGAGCAUCCUGGACGUACUUCAAGUCCUGCACCCCACUUAGUUCAGGUAACCCAGAAGAAAGCAUCUGCAGGAAAAUUAAUGUGCAGUUUUAACAAAUAAAAUGUGAUUUUACACUGAAAUAAUUAAACUCUUAGACCUUCAAAGUCAUUUGAAGCUGUGAUAAAUUGCUUAAUGCUAACAGAGGUAGUCAACGAUUACUUUCAAUCAGCAGCUAUUCCCCUUGUGUGUUUCUGCUGAGUUAAAAGCAGCUAACAAAUAAUUGCUCAGGUUGGAAAAGACCUUAAAGAUCAUCAAGUUCAACCACAACCUGACCAUAUUACCCUAACCUCUAACAACUCUCUGCUAAAUCAUGUCCCCUUUGCAGAGUAAUUCAUUAUUAUGUAUUCUUAAUAUUCUAUAUAUACCAUAUAGAAUAUUUAUUCUUAAUAUAUAUAUAUUCUUAAUUUUAAACUCUCAGGAGGCAGGUAGGUAGUUUAAAAAAAGAAGCCUAAAAAAAAUCAUCACAUACAACCUUCCUAAAAAUGUACAUCUGAUAUUUCUUGCUUUUAAAGGAACGUGUCAAGAGUUCCUGCAGCAUAAAGAAUUUAGGAUUUAAUAACGAUCCAACAUUACAGAUCAAGUUUCAACUAAUGUUAAGAAAAACGCUUACCAGGGAAAGUAGGUUAAGGAAGAGGUUUGCAUGUUUCCUUAUCAAAUUGUAAGCUUGACAACAGAGAUCCACAAACAACUGAAAGCGAAUAGUGGGUUUUUCACCACCAUUAAUGACAUAAGCCAUGUCAGAUGUUAGCACAAAUGGAGCCCGAUCCCUGUUCAUAAAAGCACAUAAUUCAUAUGUUACUUACAAGGUCUAUUCACUUUGUCACAUGCUUCCCUCCAUUCCCACCCCCAGGUAUUGAUACCCAUUAAUACCACUUUACUUUUCUAGGUUGGGUUCAGCUACUCAGGUUUCCUGCACAUUCCCAUGGACCUACUUCAGAAUCUCCUGGAGCAACACUUGGAGGCCAGGUUAAAUUACGGUGCCUUUCAUCCCUCAUUUCUAGAAGCCACAACACACAAACACAAGAUGUCUGGCUUUUGUAAGCGCUUCGAGAAAAUCCCCACUGAGAUUUAAGCAUAUUCAGCACAGAAAUUCUUAAAGAAUUAAUGCAGUUUUGAAAAGUGUGUUAAAUAUUGAUCCUUAUUUCAACCUACCAGAAGCUAGGACAGUAACUUUAUUUGAAAGCUAUGCCUAGGUGCUUAGACUUAAAAAAAAAAAUUCUAGAGAUCAGAUUAUGAAAAUGGAAAACUGGAAACUUCUCAGAAUUACUUCUGUACAAGCAAGUUUGAGGGCAUUCUGCAAACUCAGUGAUUAGAUUGGAAGAUAUUAGCUUCAUACUAAAAACUGCAUGUCACAGGAAUUUAAAUGUUAAUGCUUAUUAGAAUAUACAAAAAAAAUCACUUCAUUCUCUGCUUAGCAAUGGAAAAUACCUUUUAAAGCUACCAAACAUUUGCGCGUGACCCAGAAACUUUCCAAAGUCAAUGUGAAACAUAUGCCCUGUGUUUCGAAGCAUUAUGUUAUCGUUGUGGCGGUCACAAAUUCCCAGGACAUAAGUAGCGACACAGCAUCCUGCACAAGAAUAAAUGAAGUUUUCUGAAGCCUGGGAAGGGAAGGAAAGAAAAAAAAGAAAAUGAACUGAGAAUAAACAUCCAUGGAGAAACAGCAUCCAUGCAUUCAACAGUCAAUCUUGACAAGGGUAAAAUGCAAACCAGAUAAAACAGGUCCUAAAAUUUACCUUUUUCUGGACAGCGUUCUCUGGAUGGCUUUGCAAAAAUCUUUAGAAAUCAUAAUCUCCAGCAAAAAAUGUGUUUGCUUUGUUGUUUUUUUUUUUUUAAACAAAUGCAAGAUAAAGGAGGAUUUGAAGGCAAGAGACAAAGUGUAAGUAGUAUACGUGAAGGGAGGGGUACAUGAGAUUUAUUCUCUAGUGUAUAUUAACAGCACUGUAAUCAGUAGGAAACAUUUUAUUCUUGGUAUUCUAUGUCCCAAGAGACCCCUGCUCCUAAACCACAAUGAAGAGCAGCUGGCAUUCCUUCCUAUCGUCAACAAGACGGAAUGGAAUAUGGGCAGGAAGGUUCAACCUCUACUGCCAUACCACCAACAUCUGCCUCUGAACCAACAUAAUACAGCAGAAGGCAUUACUUUUGGAGCAGACCUCAGAAGGGAGGUCUUCAUCAACUCUUCCUGAAGAAUAGGAAAAAACUGAGUUUCCUAAAGCUUUAAAACAAAAACCUCAAAGUAAGGUCAGGAACAAGAAUUGCUCUCUCAAAAGCAAUCCUUAUUUAUCCCAUUUUAAAGGGCCUUCAAAAGAAGAAUACUGAAAAAAAGUUACCUUUUCGUAUUCCUCCUCUGUAGGAUUAUACUUUCGCAACCAUUCUGCCAGAGGCUUGUCUUUAAAAGAACCUGUCACUCCAUAUUCCACUUGAAUUUUCCUAAGUGUUUCCGAUGCAGGAACAAGUUCUACCAUACCUUCAUAUAAAAUAUAACAAAACAUCAUCUCCAUAAGUUAUAGUGCAUUUUCACUAUUUGGUAUGAAGUUUAUUGACAGUGAUUGAUUUCAUAAUUUAAGAUUAGCUUAUUUCAAAAUCCAGCUAGAUGUAAAAAGUGCUAUUAGUCUAUGAAGCAUUUCUGCAAACUACAUUACAAUGCUUUGCCAUGAAGCACAUAGAGAUUCAAUUUAGGUUUACUUUAUUACAACUAGUUAUGGUUGUUUAAAUACACACAUAUAUUAUACUUUUACUCAAAGCAUUACCACCUAAUUACUCUCUAGUACAUAAACUAGUAUUGGUCUAUAACUACAAACUCUCUAGUACAUAAGCUAGUAUUGGUCUAUAACUAAUAACUGUAAAAUAUUUUGAUACUGUCAUUUCUCAAAGACACAGCCUAGCAGCCUAGUAACUUCUACUAGUCAGUGAGUGUUGAAAUAGACCAGCCUGCCUUCAUAAAUAAGGCAAAAUAGGAUUUACAUGUGGUCUUAUUUUGGAGACAUCAUUUACUAGAAAUAUUUGUAGAGCUAGAUCAUAAAAAGAAAACAUUUUACUAAAACAGCUUGAAUUCUAUCUUGGCAAGAGCUACUAUGAGAAAAUCUGCAAUUUAUGUCUAUUUUUACUUUUCACUUGAAUCCUUCAAGUACUUUAGGGAUACUAGUAUUAGUAUCAACAAAAAAUGCAACAUGCUAUGCAAUCAAGUCAUCGCUCCAAGUAGGAAGAAAUGCCAUCUGCUUCUUUAAGAAGCAAAAGCUUUUCAUAAUUUGAAGCUUUUGGUAUAGUUUCAUCAACCUGAAUUUUCAACUCUUUCAUACACGUUUGGGAGUUUUCAUCAUGCUGUUCUGACCGAAGAGAUAAGUUUGUGCUGACCCUCUUUAAAGAUCCCGUGUUUCCUAUUGGCUAUCUGUAGAGGAUUAGUGACUUAACUUGCAUAAAUCAUGUCCAUGACAUGAGGCAGUAUUUAUACUCAGAGUUCUGUAACUUUAAAGUUACUAACAUAAAAACCUCAUAAUCCCAAGGAAUUCUGAGUAGCACAAGACAGUAAUUCUGGAAGUGGUGUGGGAAAGGAAUUAAGUCUAGUUUUUCUUCUUUUUGCACAUUUCUAUGCUCCCUGACUCAAUUGCAGCAGAUUCCAAAUACCUUGGAAUUUCAGUUUUGACUUGAAUAUUUUCUCACUCCAUAAAUAACUUUCAUAAUCAAAAUUGCUGUUGCACCACUGAUUUCCUGUGCUACAGUAAGAAUAUCAGGAAAAACCUUAUCCUUUUACUGUGACAUUUGUGCCACUAUUCGUCUACGGUAGAAUGCAUAAAAAUCUCAGGACUUGAGAAGAAACAUUUAAAUGCUACUCUGCCAUGAGGAAAUUCCAGACAAUUCAACAUGCUAGACUUUUGAGUGCUGAAGUUCCUUGUAAGGAAGGCUUUUGGCUUUCCAGUGUUUCCUGAGCCUGCCUUUGAGUAGAAAUUUUCUCUGUGAGCAUGACAAAAAUUUGGGCAGGGUGAAAGACAAGCACAAAAAUAAUAGGCAGCAUCUGGUGUUGCACCUCGAUCCUUUCCAGUUGAGAGACACUUGAAGAUAACCAUCCGUAGAUCCAGUCCCUCCUGCAGCCAGAUCUUAUCCAUGAUCUUAAUCAUCUGUAAAGCCAACAUAUCUUGUCGCAGAUCUUCUCCAACCUUAAUGGAAAUACAGAAGUCAAACAGAAACAUGAUAUGCUUUCAGCAGAACUGAACUGGAGAUGUUAAUUGCUUUAUAUUUCAAGUGCAGGAUACAUUACCCUGCUUAUUUCCUUACAGCUACACACUUAGACUACAAGCUAAGGUUUCACAUGCAGUAUACUGACUUUCACAUUUUACAACCUGUUCAGAUGUUAGUUAGCUUCUGAAAUUGUAAUGCUUAAAGAUACCUUAUGAAAAUGCUACAUCUCUUCUUAUUCCUUUUUAUAAUUAAAGCCUAUGACUUCACUCUGAGAAGAUGUGAGAAAGUACAGUUUCCCCUGGAAUACCUGUCCUUAAAAGAGAGCAGCAGUAACUCCUACCACUACCAGUUCUCCUACACAACUUUAAAGAAGUCUUAAGCAGUUAUGACAGAUGUAUCAUGCGUAAAAUAUAUUCUUGGCCACCCAAAAAGGAAAUUCUGUGGAUACUUUCAAGAUUCUGAAACGUUCAUUCAAGGUGGUGUCAUGCCAGCACUAAGGUGGAAGUUUCCUAUUGUACAGUUAUGAAAUUGAGCUGCUUACUGAAAAAACUAGCCAUCUUCAGACAUCUCUUCCUAAUCGUGGAACUGAUGAGACGGUUUCUAGAUGUACAAGAACAAGCUUACAAAGUAUUUAAGCAUACUGAUCUAUGCUGAAGUUAAUCAUUCUUUCAUUGGUAUCAACUACCAUUUAACAUUUUUCCAAUACACACGUAAGGCCUACCUUAAACAUCACAUUAAUUUCUUCUCCCAGAGGGUCUGCAUUUAUCAGUGCAAUUUUCAGUGGUACUGCAUUGGAGCUGAAGAAGGAGCAUGCCUACAAGUAGAUUUAUUGUUACUAUUCAAAAAGGACUACAAGGGCUAGUGCAGGAAACAUGACAUUCUGACAACAAGCACGUAUGACACAAUGUGCAUAUUCACACUCAUAACAUUGCAAUUGUGGUGAAAGUGUUUCCUUUGAACAAAGGGCCCUUUAGCUGAUAUUUGUUCAAUUCUUGUACAAAAGCCAACAGUUCAGCACAGUAAUGUUUUGUGUUGCAUCGAAGAAUGAGUAAAACAUGGAUAAAUAUUUUACCAGCAACUUUUUAAAACUUAAGACUAUAAAAACUGGAUAUUUGUGCCUUUCACUAUGUUCUCAUUUAUCUGUUUUCAAAUACAUAUUCAUGAUUUAAUUAAGACACUUGUAGUAGAGAAGGAAAGCAAAGGGAACUCUGGAUCUACUCUGGAUUAAAUCCCAUGCUCACGGACCUUUAGAUUCUCAGUUACGCACAAUGAUAUAAUCAAGGCUGUCAAACACGGUCAAACUUUGCAGAGUUCAGCAAAAACUCAUUUAUCAGCUUCUACACUAUCAUUUGUUGGACUUUUAUAAUGAAAUAAAGCUACUGCCUGUUUCCCUGGCACAACCAGUAACAGGCACAUUCACUGAUUUCACGGUAUUUAUUCAUUGUUUUAUCUUUAUAGCGUUAUUCACUUUUCUCUUUUGAUUACUACUGAAAACAAGACCUUCUCAUACGCUUUUGAGUAUUCCUCUCCUACAGCCACAAUUGCUGGUCUCAAAGCAGAAAAGGUCUGAAGAAAUAAUCACAUUUUAAUUAUUUACUAACAGGACCUUCCCCUGGUAUAAGUAUUUGUAUAAUUUUUCUUUUCUUAAUUAAUUUUACUCCCUCUUUCAAUCAGCAUUUUUAAUUAGAACUCUCC